GACGAAGGAUGCAAGCGUUAUCCGGAUUCAUUGGGUUUAAAGGGUGCGUAGGCGGCCCUGUAAGUCAGCGGUGAAAUCCCAAGGCUCAACCUUGGAAUCGCCGUUGAUACUGCAGGGCUCGAGUCCGACCGAGGUCGUUGGAACGCGUAGUGUAGCGGUGAAAUGCUUAGAUAUUACGCAGAACACCGAUUGCGAAGGCAGAUGGCUAGGUCGGAACUGACGCUGAGGCACGAAAGUGCGGGGAUCAGACAGG
rnacentral:misc_RNA from 1 species